rnacentral:rRNA from 1 species
UACGGAGGGGGCUAGCGUUGUUCGGAAUUAUUGGGCGUAAAGGGCGCGUAGGCGGCCGAUCAAGUCGGAGGUGAAAUCCCUCGGCUCAACUGAGGAAUUGCCUUCGAUACUGUUCGGCUUGAGUCCUGGAGAGGGUAGCGGAAUUCCCGGUGUAGCGGUGAAAUGCGUAGAGACCGGGAAGAACACCAGUGGCGAAGGCGGCUACCUGGACAGGUACUGACGCUGAAGCGCGAAAGCUAGGGGAGCAAACAGG